AGGGAUAAAAAGAGUUCUGCAGCCAACUGCUGGGUGUGUGUUCAGGCUCGCUCUACCUCAGGAGAACCAACUGUCAGCAUAUAGGGCUGAGCGGGCCAUCUGCUUGCUUGAAGCAUCCAUCCCUUGCCUUCUACCAGCUUUCCAAAGACAAAUGGAGCAACCACCACCACCACCAAAAGCCUCUGGAAUGCGACCUUUGUGCCCAGAGGCUGCCUGCUGGCUGGCAUCGAGGACGUCAGAGGCUCUUACUCGGAGACGCCUUGCUUGACUUCAGGCGACCAUCUCCUUUUGGACUUGGAGCUGCAGUUUUUCUGGA
ensembl:antisense Gm11706 predicted gene 11706